AUUGAACGCUGGCGGCAGGCCUAACACAUGCAAGUCGAGCGGAUGAAGGGAGCUUGCUCCUGGAUUCAGCGGCGGACGGGCGAGUAAUGCCUAGGAAUCUGCCUGGCAGUGGGGGAUAACGUCCGGAAACGGGCGCUAAUACCGCAUACGUCCUGAGGGAGAAAGUGGGGGAUCUUCGGACCUCACGCUAUCAGAUGAGCCUAGGUCGGAUUAGCUAGUUGGUGGGGUAAAGGCCUACCAAGGCGACGAUCCGUAACUGGUCUGAGAGGAUGAUCAGUCACACUGGAACUGAGACACGGUCCAGACUCCUACGGGAGGCAGCAGUGGGGAAUAUUGGACAAUGGGCGAAAGCCUGAUCCAGCCAUGCCGCGUGUGUGAAGAAGGUCUUCGGAUUGUAAAGCACUUUAAGUUGGGAAGAAGGGCAGUAAGUUAAUACCUUGCUGUUUUGACGGUACCAACAGAAUAAGCACCGGCUAACUUCGUG
rnacentral:rRNA from 1 species